UGCAAGACCAAAGCGGGGGACCUUCGGGCCUCGCACCAUCGGAUGUGCCCAGAUGGGAUUAGCUUGUAGGUGAGGUAAUGGCUCACCUAGGCGACGAUCCCUAGCUGGUCUGAGAGGAUGACCAGCCACACUGGAACUGAGACACGGUCCAGACUCCUACGGGAGGCAGCAGUGGGGAAUAUUGCACAAUGGGCGCAAGCCUGAUGCAGCCAUGCCGCGUGUAUGAAGAAGGCCUUCGGGUUGUAAAGUACUUUCAGCGGGGAGGAAGGCAGUCGUGUUAAUAGCACGAUUGAUUGACGUUACCCGCAGAAGAAGCACCGGCUAACUCCGUGCCAGCAGCCGCGGUAAUACGGAGGGUGCAAGCGUUAAUCGGAAUUACUGGGCGUAAAGCGCACGCAGGCGGUCUGUCAAGUCGGAUGU
rnacentral:rRNA from 1 species